CAGUAGUACAAGUGUAGCAAAACGUCCCGGGUCCCCAAAUCAGUUUCGGUAAUCUUCUGGGUUAUUUAUGACGUUUACGACCUUUACGACGCUCUCAUAAGUUGGACUAUGUAGACUGAAUGGCACGUAGGCAGACAAAUACACAGUCUGAUCAUAAGAUUCAAGAGCUUCAAGAGCUUCAGGGCUCUGAUAUCGUUACAUGGAGACAGAAGAAGAGACCGAAGAGACGACCACGAUGUUUCUUGGACUUGGACAUGAUUCGGAAUGUAGAGAUCGGUAGAGAGCGUAGAGAUCUUCCCGAGAGAUCGAUCAUCACUCAUCAUCACUCGUAUUGAUAUCUAAAAUGGCAGAUCGUUCAGUGGUUAAGGAUGAUGACACUUAAGGUUUCAUCAAUGAUAGUAAAACAAGUGAGGUAACGAGUGCUUGUUGUCAUAAAUUUAAAAUAGAACCCAGAUCAGCACAAAAAAUUAUUGAACUGCUAUAAGAAGAGAUAAACACGCCCAAUCGUACCCGUCAGAAGAGAUACUGUCCAACAUCAAGAUUGAGCCCAAUGACAGCAAACUGGAGCUUCAGAUAGCCCCGAAGAAAGCAUGGAGACUGAAGCUGCAGGAUGCUGUUACAGAAUCAAAGAACAGUGUAAAAAAGGUGGCAGAGUCAUUACUGGGGAGAAACUCAGAAGGAAACACGGAAGGUGGUUCCAUUGUGCUGAAUGCUACCGCAGAAUUCUGCCGUACGUUGGGUGACAUCCCCAUUUAUGGUCUGGCUGGCAACAGGGAUGAGGACACUCAGGAACUACUUAUACCUGUCUCAUGAAUUUCAUGGAAAGGGACCUGGCAAAAUAAAGUGGAGAAACGAAUGAAGAAAACUGAACAGGAAGGAUUGAUGAAACAGAUGAGCUCAACAGAUGCCCACUUAGAAUGCUUAGUCUCUUACAGCAGAAGCAGAAAGAAAUGCAGUCUCCAUUCGUGGUCCUUAGUGGCAGUAAACAAACAUGAGGCAACCAUCUGAAAAACAAAACUGCAAAUUCUUCAUGAAAUAUGCUGGCACAAACUCUGAACUUUGGCGUGUUUUUAUUGUUUCUUACUGUCUGGAAUAUAAUCUCUGUUUUUAAGUAAGACACAGCUUGCAGCUGCCGACAGUGCCUCUGUGUACUGGAAGGAAGGCCACAGAGUUCAUGUCACAUUCAAAUGAUUACAGUGGUUCUCCUGCUUCCUUAGGUAACCUGUUGGCACCUGUAAGCUGGGAAGUACAAUUUGUAGUGAUUAGUUGCUUGCUUAUAGGACUUGAGCCAGAUGAACAGUCUCUAAGCUAAAUCAGACAUGAAGUAAUUAUAUUUGGCCUUUCGUGAUUGCAAUAGCAAUAUUGUAUCCUUCCAAGGGAAGAAAGAAACCCUUGUUCAGUUGUAGGCCAGUAUGAAAAGCUGUAAAAUUAUACAAGCAACAGAAUCAGAAAGUGUACAGUCUACUGCAAAUCAUUGUAAAGCACCACUGAUAUAUCACUGAAACAUUUGUAAUGGGUUAUAAAAGUAACUUGGUUCAUCCUGGUCUGUCGCACUAGUAAUUGUAUCUAAGGAUUUUAACCACUGGCCAGUGUGAUUGAUAAAAGUUGUUUUUAAUUUUUCAUCCUUUACAUGUUUUGGUCAAAACGACCAUCUU